CCGUGCCAGCAGCCGCGGUAAUACGGAGGGGGUUAGCGUUGUUCGGAAUUACUGGGCGUUAAGCGCGCGUAGGCGGAUUAGAAAGUUGGGGGUGAAAUCCCGGGGCUCAACCUCGGAACUGCCUCCAAAACUGCUAGUCUAGAGUUCGAGAGAGGUGAGUGGAAUUCCGAGUGUAGAGGUGAAAUUCGUAGAUAUUCGGAGGAACACCAGUGGCGAAGGCGGCUCACUGGCUCGAUACUGACGCUGAGGUGCGAAAGUGUGGGGAGCAAACAGGAUUAGAUACCCUGGUAGUCCACACCGUAAACGAUGAAUGCCAGUCGUCGGGUAGUAUACUAUUCGGUGACACACCUAACGGAUUAAGCAUUCCGCCUGGGGAGUACGGUCGCAAGAUUAAAACUCAAAGGAAUUGACGG
rnacentral:rRNA from 1 species